UUUAGCGGCGGACGGGUGAGUAACGCGUGAGCAAUCUGGCCUAUACAGGGGGAUAACACAGGGAAACUUGUACUAAUACCGCAUAAUCUCCUUUGGUCGCAUGACCGAGGGAAGAAAGUGGCAACACGGUAAAGGGGGAGCUCGCGUUCUAUUAGAUAGUUGGUGAGGUAACGGCUCACCAAGUCAACGAUAGAUAGCCGACCUAAGAGGGUGAUCGGCCACACUGGAACUGAGACACGGUCCAGACUUC
rnacentral:rRNA from 1 species